UAAGAUAUUUUAUGAUUUCAGUGAUGUGAAAGAAUCGUUCAAAGUCGCAGAGAGAGCAGCAGUUGAAGUUGGAAGUACGACACGUUUAAGCAACAGCGAAUUUGUGGAACAUUGUAGUAACAUAGCUCAUCGGACGUCUUGUUUGAGCCUAGAAACAGUAUUUUAGAAAAUGCAGAAAAAGGCUAAGUAAGUUGUUUACCCUUUCAAAUUACCAUACAAGAUAUUUGACCUGAAAUAAAUAAAUAAACUUGUAAUAAACUAUA
rnacentral:sRNA from 1 species